rnacentral:rRNA from 1 species
CUGAGACACGGCCCAGACUCCUACGCGAGGCAGCAGUGGGGAGUAUUGCACAAUGGGGGAAACCCUGAUGCAGCAACGCCGCGUGAGUGAUGAAGGCCUUCGGGUUGUAAAGCUCUGUCUUCUGGGACGAUAAUGACGGUACCAGAGGAGGAAGCCACGGCUAACUACGUGCCAGCAGCCGC